rnacentral:rRNA from 1 species
UACGGGGGGGGCAAGCGUUGUUCGGAAUUACUGGGCGUAAAGGGCUCGUAGGCGGCCAACUAAGUCAGACGUGAAAUCCCUCGGCUUAACCGGGGAACUGCGUCUGAUACUGGAUGGCUUGAGUUUGGGAGAGGGAUGCGGAAUUCCAGGUGUAGCGGUGAAAUGCGUAGAUAUCUGGAGGAACACCGGUGGCGAAGGCGGCAUCCUGGACCGACACUGACGCUGAGACGCGAAAGCGUGGGGAGCAAACAGG